AGGUGAUCCUUGGACGCCCACAGUACAUCACCUUCAUGAGCGCAUCAGUGAACACCAGUCUAAGGAAGACAUCUCUGAACGUAAUUUUGGAGAUUUUGAUGAGUUCCAUUGAAACAAGGAGGAAUGUGAUGUCCAGUAUCAGUUCUGCAGACCCAAGGACAAAGAAAAUUCUGUGAUAAACUCAUCCAGUGUGACUGUAAUACCAGGCAGUGAUAGAAGAACUGGGGGAAGAGAUAAUUGUAUUUAUCUUGGUGAGGGUGACAAAUCAUGGCAAAUGAGCAAAAUGAAAAAGGAUACAAGACACCGGACUUUCAAAUCAACAAUUGUUUCAAAAGACUCCUACUGGAUUCCUGCUAGUGAUGGGAGAAAAUUAUCAUUCUGCCCUGCUGGAAAUUUUCCAUGCUCUUCAUUCGUUCUCCUGUAUUUCCUAACGCCAAUAAAAGAGGAGAUCCCUG
rnacentral:lncRNA from 1 species